UCUCGGUGAUGAUAAACAUAUGCUGAGCAAAAUGUAGUUGGUCCUUCAUUUGCACCGGCUGAUGUUUACUGUCGUUUUCAAGACGGGGCUGAGAGAAGC
ensembl:snoRNA SNORD21 Small nucleolar RNA SNORD21